rnacentral:rRNA from 1 species
AGUGAACGCUGGCGGUAGGCCUAACACAUGCAAGUCGAACGGCAGCACAGUAAGAGCUUGCUCUUACGGGUGGCGAGUGGCGGACGGGUGAGGAAUACAUCGGAAUCUACUUUUUCGUGGGGGAGAACGUAGGGAAACUUACGCUAAUACCGCAUACGACCUACGGGUGAAAGCAGGGGAUCUUCGGACCUUGCGCGAUUGAAUGAGCCGAUGUCGGAUUAGCUAGUUGGCGGGGUAAAGGCCCACCAAGGCGACGAUCCGUAGCUGGUCUGAGAGGAUGAUCAGCCACACUGGACCUGAGGCACGGUCCAGACUCCUACGGGAGGCAGCAGUGGGGACUAUUGGACAAUGGGCGCAAGCCUGAUCCAGCCAUACCGCGUGGGUGAAGAAGGCCUUCGGGUUGUAAAGCCCUUUUGUUGGGAAAGAAAAGCAGCAGGUUAAUACCCCGCUGUUCUGACGGUACCCAAAGAAUAAGCACCGGCUAACUUCGUG